rnacentral:lncRNA from 1 species
UCAGGCUAGGUGAAGUUCAAUUGGCUUGGAAACUAGGCUUCGCCGAUUGGGAAGACGACUACUACUGGGAGGCUUCGCCGAUUGAUAGAGAUGAACUCCCUUCGCAUGAAUGGGUCAUGUCAUUCCCGAACCUCUACGAUCGAAGGUUAUUCUGAUACUCAUCGAUUGAUGAAGUGAAGGAAACGGAUUUCAGUUCAUAUUGAUUACUGGCCUUGGUUGAAGAACUGGCGUAUUCCCGCCACUGGACUUCCAUCACUCUCAUCACUGUCGUCUUCCCUCAUCGUUCUCAUAAAAAAGUAAGUCAGUCCGCUAGAAAGCCCACCGCCAUAUGGAAUCGGAACA